AUUAACCAGAUGUGAACUUAGAGCCUUGAUAAUCUUCAGGGAACUCAUUCAACACAGGGAAGCCUGCUAAUUUAUGAACAAAGCAGUUAUUUACAGACCCCUUCAGCCUCAGGAACAAAAAAGAGGGUAAACGUGAGAUAUUCACACCUACAGGAGUUACCUGGUUUCCCUUCAGGUAAAUGGAGGAAAAUGGCAUCUACCUCACAGAGUUAAUAGGAGAAAUUGUGUAAGACACUGAAGAGUGCCUGGUGUUUGGUCAACAAUGAAAGCUAGUUGGCUCCCUAUCUUGCCCUGGCUCCCCAUACCACCAAGUCCUAUGUUGUUCAAGAAGCCAUCAGGGACUAUGAAGAAGAUAAAGGGGGGAACUUCAGGUAGAAAUGAUCUCAGGGACUUUAAGAGGAAGACACACCUGCAGCUCCAGAUGAACAGAGAUUACUGGAGAAGCUGGGAUAACUACUAGAGAGUUAAACACAGAGGUAUUCUAUUGAAGGACUUUGUCUUCAAAAGUCUCCCAGUCCAGUAAAGAGAGACAUCUACAAUCAAGAAGUCACAAUGCCAAUGGGUGCUUAAGAAGAGGGACCAUGUUUUGAGAAAACUCAGAGAAGGAGCCACCAACUAAUUUCUGGGUGUUUGAGAAGGCCGCACAUUAGAGAUGAUAAUUGAACUGAAUCUGGGAAAAUAAACACUUUUUCCAAAGGCA